AAAUACUUUCCUAAGUAUCACCAUGACACCCGAUUUUCAAAAUUGUAGUUGUCAAAAGGUUGAAAUUGGUAAAAAUAAAUGUUUAAAAAUAAAAUAAAAUAAAAGGUCACAAUUACAACGCGUGUCUAUCACAACCAAUAUAAUGUUUAUUUAAUAACAAGCUUUAUAUUUCAAUUUCCAUUUUAUUUAACACAUUUAUUUAAUUUAAUUUAAAAUGCUUACAUACAUUUUAUCAAUCGGAUUUAUAGUAAUAUUAUUUUUAUUAGUAAUUUGGUGUAUGAUAAUAGAAGAUUAUUCUGACGGUCUGUCAGCAAAAGAACAAUCAGUACCAGUGAAGUUUGAACGGUUAUCUACGUUGCAUCAAUUAAAUUGUUUAAUAAAUAAAUUAGAAGAGCUUGAGUUGCAAAACCUCAGCCCAUGUAAAACAAAACUGGAAAAAGUGACUGACCGUCUCAAAAAUUUAAACAGAUAUCAGAUGAAAUCGGAACUUUUAUACAAAGACGAACUGAUGCAAUACGAGAGAGCCAUUGAAUGGAUAAAAUCACCAGCAGAGUUCCGAAACAGGUGUGGACCGCCCAAUAUUUUUCCUACGUACUCGCCCCUCACAGAUAGUGACAUGAAACAAUUGACAAGGUUAACUUUUCCACCGGUUGACUUAACUAGAGUGCCAGUCGGGCCAUUACGGUGGUCAGUUGCAAGCGGCGAAACGUCACUUCCGGCUGUUGAACAAUGGUUGGAAAAUGUAUUUGGGUUAUUGAUAAAAUCCUCGGAAGAAAUAUUAAACUUGAAAGAUAAGGUAUGUUCUUGGACCUAUACAGACCAAUUCGCUGAAUACGGAGGAUUGAUUGAAUUUCUGCGCCGUGCCAUCGUCGUUAGCGCUGAAGAAGAUACUGACGGAAAAAAAACUAUAUUUAUAUUGGACUUCAUGGUACCCCCUAGUGUGACCCUAGAUCGUAUUCCCGAAGUUAACGCCAUAGGGCCUCCGAUAAAACCACUGAGGGGACUCUGCUGCAUUCCGGUCAAGUACACUGAGUCGGAUGCAUGAGAUGUUGCGGAAAAGAGUGAAAGAAUACUUGUGUCCGUAAUUGAUCGAUAGAAUAAAUCGAAUAAAUUGAUAAAUAUAGGUAUACAUGGAGAAUGAACAAGCCCAGCAAAUUAAAAUAGUCGUUCAACAGCAACUAAAGAACAUAGCCUAUUAUGUUAAAAUUUAUAAAUACAUUUUUAUUUUUAAUAA